UUUUAGCCCCGAUAGAAGUGGCAUCCUUUUGUGUUCUCGUUUUUUUACGAGACCACAAAAGAUAGAACGGAUAGCGGGAUUAGCU
rnacentral:sRNA from 1 species